rnacentral:rRNA from 1 species
UACGUAGGGACCAAGCGUUGUUCGGAUUUACUGGGCGUAAAGGGCGCGUAGGCGGCGCGGUAAGUCACUUGUGAAAUCUCUGAGCUUAACUCAGAACGGCCAAGUGAUACUGCAGUGCUAGAGUGUGGAAGGGGCAAUCGGAAUUCUUGGUGUAGCGGUGAAAUGCGUAGAUAUCAAGAGGAACACCUGAGGCGAAGGCGGGUUGCUAGGCUGACACUGACGCUGAGUGCGCGAAAGCCAGGGGAGCAAACGGG